rnacentral:rRNA from 1 species
GGGUUGUGAGGUUAAGCGACUAAGCGUACACGGUGGAUGCCCUGGCAGUCAGAGGCGAUGAAGGGCGUGCUAAUCUGCGAUAAGCGCCGGUAAGGUGAUAUGAACCGUUAUAACCGGCGAUACCCGAAUGGGGAAACCCAGUGUGAUUCGUCACACUAUCAUUAACUGAAUCCAUAGGUUAAUGAGGCGAACCGGGGGAACUGAAACAUCUAAGUACCCCGAGGAAAAGAAAUCAACCGAGAUUCCCCCAGUAGCGGCGAGCGAACGGGGAGGAGCCCAGAGCCUGAAUCAGCAUGUGUGUUAGUGGAAGCGUCUGGAAAGGCGCGCGAUACAGGGUGACAGCCCCGUACACAAAAGCGCAUGUGCUGUGAGCUCGAUGAGUAGGGCGGGACACGUGGUAUCCUGUCUGAAUAUGGGGGGACCAUCCUCCAAGGCUAAAUACUCCUGACUGACCGAUAGUGAACCAGUACCGUGAGGGAAAGGCGAAAAGAACCCCGGCGAGGGGAGUGAAAAAGAACCUGAAACCGUGUACGUACAAGCAGUGGGAGCCCCACCACCAAAGCAUUUGCUGUACCGUGUUGACGGAGCGAAGCGACGUCAAACCGAUAAAACAGCAGUGUAAAGUGAGCCGCAGGGCGCUUUGCGCGACAGCGCAAAGGCAGGCGGUUUCGCGUAGCGAAAGCGAAUGCUUUGGGGUGGGGUGACUGCGUACCUUUUGUAUAAUGGGUCAGCGACUUAUAUUCUGUAGCAAGGUUAACCGUAUAGGGGAGCCGUAGGGAAACCGAGUCUUAACCGGGCGUUAAGUUGCAGGGUAUAGACCCGAAACCCGGUGAUCUAGCCAUGGGCAGGUUGAAGGUUGGGUAACACUAACUGGAGGACCGAACCGACUAAUGUUGAAAAAUUAGCGGAUGACCUGUGGCUGGGGGUGAAAGGCCAAUCAAACCGGGAGAUAGCUGGUUCUCCCCGAAAGCUAUUUAGGUAGCGCCUCGUGAAUUCAUCUCCGGGGGUAGAGCACUGUUUCGGCUAGGGGGCCAUCCCGGCUUACCAACCCGAUGCAAACUGCGAAUACCGGAGAAUGUUAUCACGGGAGACACACGGCGGGUGCUAACGUCCGUCGUGAAGAGGGAAACAACCCAGACCGCCAGCUAAGGUCCCAAAGUCAUGGUUAAGUGGGAAACGAUGUGGGAAGGCCCAGACAGCCAGGAUGUUGGCUUAGAAGCAGCCAUCAUUUAAAGAAAGCGUAAUAGCUCACUGGUCGAGUCGGCCUGCGCGGAAGAUGUAACGGGGCUAAACCAUGCACCGAAGCUGCGGCAGCGAACGUAUCACUUAAAGCGAUUCAGCGGGUUACGAUUGACGGAGCGAAGCGACGUCAAAGCGUAUACAAAGUCGAGUCGGUUUAAGGAUACGUUCGUUGGGUAGGGGAGCGUUCUGUAAGCCUGUGAAGGUGGCCUGUGAGGGUUGCUGGAGGUAUCAGAAGUGCGAAUGCUGACAUAAGUAACGAUAAAGCGGGUGAAAAGCCCGCUCGCCGGAAGACCAAGGGUUCCUGUCCAACGUUAAU